rnacentral:rRNA from 1 species
UUAGCGGCGGACGGGUGAGUAACGCGUGGGAACAUACCCUUUGGUACGGAAUAGCCUCGGGAAACUGGGAGUAAUACCGUAUGUGCCCUUCGGGGGAAAGAUUUAUCGCCAUUGGAGCGGCCCGCGUUGGAUUAGGUAGUUGGUGGGGUAAAGGCCCACCAAGCCUACGAUCCAUAGCUGGUCUGAGAGGAUGAUCAGCCACACUGGGACUGAGACACGGCCCAGACUCC